GGAGAAGUACUCAAGUAGGCUGAAGAGGACGGUUUGCUAAACCGUUAGGUCGCAAUUAUGCGGCGCGAGGGUUCGAAUCCCUCCUUCUCCGCCA
rnacentral:tRNA from 1 species